rnacentral:rRNA from 1 species
UACGUAGGCAGCGAGCGUUGUUCGGAAUUACUGGGCGUAAAGAGUGUGUAGGCGGUGCUCUAAGUUCGGUGUAAAAUCUCCUGGCUCAACUGGGAGGGUGCGCCGGAAACUGGAGUGCUUGAGCGUGGGAGAGGAAAGCGGAAUUCCUGGUGUAGCGGUGAAAUGCGUAGAUAUCAGGAGGAACACCGGCGGUGUAGACGGCUUUCUGGACCGUAGCUGACGCUGAGACACGAAAGCGUGGGUAGCAAACAGG